CGCGGGCCUCUCACUGUUGCGGCCUCUCCCGUUGCGGAGCACAGGCUCCGGACGCGCAGGCGCAGCGGCCAUGGCUCACGGGCCCAGCCGCUCCGCGGCAUGUGGGAUCUUCCUGGGCCGGGGCACGAACCCGUGUCCCGUGCAUCGGCAGGCGGACUCUCAACCACUGCGCCACCAGGGAAGCCCUUUCUGGAGAGACCUGAGGGCACGUGACCUAGGAAUGUGCAUCCCAAGAUAAUACUACCUUCAGAGAACUCUACUUAUAGAGGUGAGCCUUCCAUAAAUGACAAAGGAAAUUCAGGACACCAAGAAGAUGAUGUUUUCUUAUAGAAUCUAGCAAGAUGAUGUGUAAGGAUUUCAGAUGUGUAGCUCCUAUUAAAGUUGACAAGAGUUGUGCUAUUACAAUCCCCUCGUGACACUUUGCAUUACAUCCUGGGAAGUCUGAAGAAGGUGCCGAAGGAUCAUCAAAACACCAGCAUCACUUUGAUAAUCUUGUCACCAGAACUGUGAUGUUGAAUAAUGAAGAAAACAUUACCUGAUGAAGGCUUUUAUUUUAUGAUGGUAUCUCUGGAGACAGAGGAGACACAAAGGCUUAAAUGCCAUCUUCAAUUACAUCUUGGCCUUGGCAAGCUUUCAGCUGGUUUUGAUUUGCAUGGAAACCACAUUAUUUUUAAAACCUUAUAGAAAGAAGGAAGGAAGGAAGGAAGGUAGGAAGCUUUGACCUCGUUUUUUGGAGGCUUAACGGCUCUAAGUGACUUCCUCCUUUCCGAAUGCAGCUAGAGAGCAUGGUGUGCA